AGUCUCGUGGUCUAGUGGUUAUGAUUUCUCGUUCACAUUCAUUAUUGGAGUGAGCAUUCUUCCGAGAAGGUCCCGUGUUCGACCCACGGCGAGACUA